GUAGUGGCCUACCAAGGCGACGACGGGUAGCCGGCCUGAGAGGGUGACCGGCCACACUGGGACUGAGACACGGCCCAGACUCCUACGGGAGGCAGCAGUGGGGAAUAUUGCGCAAUGGGCGGAAGCCUGACGCAGCGACGCCGCGUGGGGGAUGACGGCCUUCGGGUUGUAAACCUCUUUCGGCAGGGACGAAGCCGGAAGGUGACGGUACCUGCAGAAGAAGCACCGGCUAACUACGUGCCAGCAGCCGCGGUAAUACGUAGGGUGCGAGCGUUGUCCGGAAUUACUGGGCGUAAAGAGCUCGUAGGUGGUUUGUCGCGUUGUUCGUGAAAACCUGAGGCUUAACCUUGGGCGUGCGGGCGAUACGGGCAGACUGGAGUACUGCAGGGGAGACUGGAAUUCCUGGUGUAGCGGUGAAAUGCGCAGAUAUCAGGAGGAACACCGGUGGCGAAGGCGGGUCUCUGGGAAACAACUGACGCUGAGGAACGAAAGCGUGGGUAGCAAACAGGAUUAGAUACCCUGGUAGUCCACGCCGUAAACGGUGGGCGCUAGG
rnacentral:rRNA from 1 species